rnacentral:rRNA from 1 species
GAGAAACGCUGGCGGCGCACAUAAGACAUGCAAGUCGAACGGAAUUUAGUCAAAUGUUUACAUGAGACGAAGAUUUAGUGGCGGACGGGUGAGUAACACGUGAGCAACCUACCUUGAAGAGGGGGAUAACAUUGAGAAAUCAGUGCUAAUACCGCAUAACACUUUCAUACCGCAUGGUGAGAAAGUCAAAGGAGUAAUCCACUUUAAGAUGGGCUCGCGGCUGAUUAGCCAGUUGGUGGGGUAACGGCCUACCAAAGCGAUGAUCAGUAGCCGAGCUGAGAGGCACAACGGCCACAUUGGGACUGAGACACGGCCCAGACUCC